AUUGAACGCUGGCGGCAGGCCUAACACAUGCAAGUCGAACGAGUGGCGGACGGGUGCGUAAUGUCUGGGAAACUGCCCAAUGGAGGGGGAUAACUACUGGAAACGGUAGCUAAUACCGCAUACGAUCGGAUUGGCCCAGAUGGGAUUAGCUCGUUGGUGGGGUAAAGGCUCACCUAGGCGACGAUCCCUAGCUGGUGUGAGAGGAAGACCAGCCACACUGGAACUGAGCCACGGUCCAGAGUCCUACGGGAGGCAGCAGUGGGGAAUAUUGCACAAUGGGGGCAAUCCUGAUUCAGCCAUGCCGCGUGUAUGAAGAAGGCUUUCGGGUUGUAAAGUACUUUCAGCGAGGAGGCGUUACUCGCAGAAGAAGCACCGGCUAACUCCGUGCCAGCAGCCGCGGUAAUUC
rnacentral:rRNA from 1 species